rnacentral:misc_RNA from 1 species
AUGAUAAAGAGGGGAAGCUGCACCAGAUUGAGGAGGGAAAGAAGAAGGAAAUGAGCGACCAGUGUUGUCAGAAGGAUUUGAAGCUGAUCCCUUUAGAGAAGAAUUGGGUAAUCCUGACAUUGCAGAAAUGUCAAGAUGUCAUGCAGAAUUUCUUCCUGGUUGUACAGCAGCUUCCCUUAUCCUUUUCUCCGGAAAGGUUAUGGGAGAAAUUAUUGGAAGCCUUUCCAACGAGUAAAUACCUAUUAUCGGGGAAGAAGAGGUGCGAG